GAUGAACGCUAGCGGCAGGCUUAACACAUGCAAGUCGAGGGGUAUAGUUCUUCGGAACUAGAGACCGGCGCGCGGGUGCGUAACGCGUAUGCAAUCUACCUUUUGCAGAGGGAUAGCCCAGAGAAAUUUGGAUUAAUACCUCAUAGUAUGUGAGAAUGGCAUCAUUUUCACAUUAAAGUCACAACGGCAAAAGAUGAGCAUGCGUCCCAUUAGCUUGUUGGUAAGGUAACGGCUUACCAAGGCAACGAUGGGUAGGGGUCCUGAGAGGGAGAUCCCCCACACUGGUACUGAGACACGGACCAGACUCCUACGGGAGGCAGCAGUGAGGAAUAUUGGACAAUGGGCGCAAGCCUGAUCCAGCCAUGCCGCGUGCAGGAUGACGGUCCUAUGGAUUGUAAACUGCUUUUGUACAGGAAGAAACACUGGUUCGUGAACCAGCUUGACGGUACUGUAAGAAUAAGGACCGGCUAACUCCGUGCCAGCAGCCGCGGUAA
rnacentral:rRNA from 1 species